GCCACAGAGGUGCAAAAAUGAUCCUCCAUGAUCAAAACAAAACCACCAAACUAUUAGUUAAUAAUUUAAAAGAUCAUCAGUUGAAACCAGUCGGUGUGCAGAAUACAGCUAGUAAUUCCAUUCACUAGAAAAAAGCAUGUUGUCAACAUUGAUUACAACAGAAAACAUUUUGCAAGAAAAAUAAUACAUUUUCUUGUUUUUCACGCAGCUAGCCUACAAGGACAUGGCUAUUAAAAAUAAAUUUUUGAGAAAAAAAAGGAGAUACAAUAUUUGUUCAUCUGUGAAAGUUGUAUGCAAUGCAGUGCAGAUUAACCUAAACGACUAAACUUAAAUCAUAACUGUAGGAGAAAAAUCUGUAUUCAUAUUCCUAAUUCCAAUUCAAUAAGUACCAUAGACAAUCAAGUUUCUACUCUCCCUACAAAAAUUUGUAAUGGACAGAUGUAAAACUGCAUCCAUGAGGUCUUUGAAAGAUUGGCGCUAAAUUUCUAUAGAGAUGCCGCAUAACAGUUCCAUGGCAAUGGAAUCGUGAGUACAUUGCGUUCAGUUCAAUACAACCAAGUGUGUGUGUGUGUGUGUGUGU
rnacentral:misc_RNA from 1 species